CAUGCAAGUCGAGCGGACAGAAGGGAGCUUGCUCCCGGAUGUAGCGGCGGACGGGUGAGUAACACGUGGGUAACCUGCCUGUAAGACUGGGAUAACUCCGGGAAACCGGAGCUAAUACCGGAUAGUUCCUUGAACCGCAUGGUUCAAGGAUGAAAGACGGUUUCGGCUGUCACUUACAGAUGGACCCGCGGCGCAUUAGCUAGUUGGUGAGGUAACGGCUCACCAAGGCGACGAUGCGUAGCCGACCUGAGAGGGUGAUCGGCCACACUGGGACUGAGACACGGCCCAGACUCCUACGGGAGGCAGCAGUAGGGAAUCUUCCGCAAUGGACGAAAGUCUGACGGAGCAACGCCGCGUGAGUGAUGAAGGUUUUCGGAUCGUAAAGCUCUGUUGUUAGGGAAGAACAAGUGCAAGAGUAACUGCUUGCACCUUGACGGUACCUAACCAGAAAGCCACGGCUAACUACGUGCCAGCAGCCGCGGUAAUACGUAGGUGGCAGCGUUGUCCGGAAUUAUUGGGCGUAAAGGGCUCGCAGGCGGUUUCUUAAGUCUGAUGUGAAAGCCCCCGGCUCAACCGGGGAGGGUCAUUGGAAACUGGGAAACUUGAGUGCAGAAGAGGAGAGUGGAAUUCCACGUGUAGCGGUGAAAUGCGUAGAGAUGUGGAGGAACACCAGUGGCGAAGGCGACUCUCUGGUCUGUAACUGACGCUGAGGAGCGAAAGCGUGGGGAGCGAACAGGAUUAGAUACCCUGGUAGUCCACGCCGUAAACGAUGAGUGCUAAGUGUUAGGGGGUUUCCGCCCCUUAGUGCUGCAGCUAACGCAUUAAGCACUCCGCCUGGGGAGUACGGUCGCAAGACUGAAACUCAAAGGAAUUGACGGGGGCCCGCACAAGCGGUGGAGCAUGUGGUUUAAUUCGAAGCAACGCGAAGAACCUUACCAGGUCUUGACAUCCUCUGACAACCCUAGAGAUAGGGCUUUCCCUUCGGGGACAGAGUGACAGGUG
rnacentral:rRNA from 1 species